AUGUACAGAGCUGAAGCGGUAGCCCAGGGAGGAGAGGACUGCGUGUUUUUUCUUGGCGGGGGAGUUGUGCACCCUGUAGUCUGUUGUGUUGUGGGAAGAUCAGCCCAUGUUCUGUCGGUUGCCAUAGCCCCUAGGGUGGGUGUCCUUCCAGUCAUCCCACUCCCGGGCUCUGUGGAGUGUUUGUUCAUCAUUCUCUCCCUCCUUUACUUGUUGAUCUUCCUGUUGCUGAGCUGCUUUUCUGAAUUCCUCUGGUGUUGCCUUGGCUAUUCCCUGAUCCGACUUUCAGGAUUAAGCGAUUCCUGGCCAAGAAACGAAAGCGAAAUCAUCCCAUUCCCCAGUGGAUUCGAAUGAAAACUGGAAAUAAAAUCAGUUUUCAUUCCGGCAGCCACCAGGGGAUCUGACAGAGCAGGUGCACCAAGCAGGGGAAGUUCCUGAAAGUGGAGGAGAAAUAGUCUGAGAGAGAACGUAGAAG
rnacentral:lncRNA from 1 species